rnacentral:rRNA from 1 species
UACGUAGGGUGCGAGCGUUAAUCGGAAUUACUGGGCGUAAAGCGUGCGCAGGCGGUUCGUUGUGUCGGCGGUGAAAGCCCCGGGCUCAACCUGGGAAUGGCCGUUGAAACUGGCGAACUGGAGUGUGGCAGAGGGGGGUGGAAUUCCGCGUGUAGCAGUGAAAUGCGUAGAGAUGCGGAGGAACACCGACGGCGAAGGCAGCCCCCUGGGCUAACACUGACGCUCAGGCACGAAAGCGUGGGGAGCAAACGGG